rnacentral:rRNA from 1 species
AAUGAACGCUGGCGGCGCGCCUAAUACAUGCAAGUCGAGCGAGAAGACGUAGCAAUACGUUUGUAAAGCGGCGAACGGGUGAGGAAUACAUGGGUAACCUACCCUCGAGUGGGGAAUAACUAGCCGAAAGGUUAGCUAAUACCGCGUACGCUUCUUGGACUUCGGUUCAGGGAGGAAAGCGAUACCGUGGGUAUCGCGCUCUUGGAUGGGCUCAUGUCCUAUCAGCUUGUUGGUGAGGAACGGCUCACCAAGGCUUCGACGGGUAGCUGGUCUGAGAGGACGAUCAGCCACACUGGCACUGCGACACGGGCCAGACUCCUACGGGAGGCAGCAGUAAGGAAUAUUGCGCAAUGGGCGAAAGCCUGACGCAGCGACGCCGC